UACGUAGGGGGCAAGCGUUGUCCGGAUUUAUUGGGCGUAAAGAGCGUGUAGGCGGCCAGACAGGUCCGUUGUGAAAACUGGAGGCUCAACCUCCAGACGUCGAUGGAAACCGUCUGGCUAGAGUCCGGAAGAGGAGAGUGGAAUUCCUGGUGUAGCGGUGAAAUGCGCAGAUAUCAGGAAGAACACCCGUGGCGAAAGCGGCUCUCUGGGACGGUACUGACGCUGAGGAGCGAAAGCAUGGGGAGCGAACAGG
rnacentral:rRNA from 1 species